ACGAGUCAGGUUGUAUUACCUAACUCAGUAUCUAUUGAUACGUCUAUACUCAGUGAAUCACUGAGUUCAUAGAACCUCUUCUACACGUCGACAAGAUUAUUUCUUGUGUUUGCCAGUCAUCGUAUGGUGCCUGGCAUUUUUUAUC
rnacentral:ncRNA from 1 species